CAUGUCCUUUUGAAAUUGAUUUAAGGUCUAAUCUGCUCAAUGAAUAUUAAAUAGCCGCAGUAUUUUGACUGUGCAAAGGUAGCAUAAUAAUUAGUUUUUUAAUUAAAAACUGGAAUGAAUGAUUGGACAAGAAAAUUACUGUCUCUUUUUUAAAUUUUUUGAAUUUUAUUUUUAAGUGAAAAAGCUUAAAUUUUUAUAAAAGACGAGAAGACCCUAUAGAGUUUAAUAUUUUUUAAUAAUUGAUUUUUAGAAAUUUAGUUUAUUAAAUUUUAUUUGAUUGGGGUGAUUGAAAGAUUAGAAAAAUUCUUUUAAAAUUAAAUUGAAAAUUUUCAAAUUAUUUAUCUAUAGUUUAUAAAUUUAAAAUAAAUUACCUUAGGGAUAACAGCGUUAUUUUUCUUAAAAGUUCUUAUUAUAAGGAAAGUUUGCGACCUCGAUGUUGGAUUAAAAUUAAUUUUUGGUGCAGUAGCUAAAGAAUUGGGUCUGUUCGACCUUUAAAAUUUUACAUGAUCUGAGUUUAGACCGGUGUGAGCCAGGUCGGAUUCUAUCUUUAAAAAGUAUAUUAUAUUUUAGUACGAAAGGACCAAAUAUAAAUUAAAUUAAUUGU
rnacentral:rRNA from 1 species